UCUAUAUAUAUAUAUAUAUAUAUAGGUGAAAGGGUUGUUUGACCCGAGAGAGAGAUAAUUACCUCCAUGUGUGGGAAUCAAAAGGCUUGACAAUAUUAGCAGGCAAAAGAAAAGAAAUUCUUUCUCGUAUAUCCACCCAUAUCUCAUCUACUCAAAGGCAAAACACAGCCUGAAGCAAUCAUCAUCAUCAUGUUCUCCAGCUUCUCCUCCUCCCCUUCCUCCUCCUCCUUUCUCUCAUCAUUAACCCCUCACAUUAGUCCGCCACACACCAUCUCUCAACCUCCACCAAGCCCACAAAAGUCACCAUCACCAUCAUUCGCUCCAAAUUUCAGAACUAGGAAGAGGGAAAGGAUCAGAUUCGAACGAGGCUUGAUAGGAGAUGAGGAUGGGUUCGCUGAAGAAGAAGAAACCCUAUCUUUCGUGAGUGGAAGGACUUUGCUUCUUCCAGAUCAAGGAACUUCAGUUCAUUUUCUCUAGUCAUCGUCUCUUCUCUCUAUCCGGGGAAUCGAAGCAUCACGGUCCGAUCGAUUUGUUUAUUUUGUCCCGUUUGAAGCAAAUCUACAUCUAUAAAGUUGGAGCUUUGCCUUAUAUUUACGGAUCUAAUAUUGUCUUUAAAUCUGAAUCAUGUCUGAGGUGGUUUAAUUAGGUUGUUAUUAAGGAAGAUGCAUCAACUUACUAAGGUAUGUCGAUUAUGUUUUGAAUCAUUAUUAUGUGACCUUUUGAACUAUGUGCGAGUGUGAGAGAGUGCGAGAGCUUGUUGUGUGUAUUUCCUCCUAGUCUGCGUAUUGUGAUUCUCUGACUUCAAACGGUUUGUCUAGGGACUGUAGUAUGUAUUGUUUGAUCUCAAAGGCAACAGAAGAACAAGAAGACUAUGGAAAUGAAAGUUGGAUUUGUUUCUGUAUCUCUUAUGGAUUCAACGAUUACCUUCAGUAUAUGUCCAAGCUGUAACUGUUGGUGUUUUAGCAUUUCUUAGAUUGAUCGCUACUUUACUGGAAGGUGAUUUGAAGGUUCGCAAAACACACGUGUGUGGUAGAAGAUAUGAAAAUAAGGGCGUAUUUGUUUGAGUGAAAGAAUUUUCCAUAAAUUCGUUUUCUGGAUUUUCACUCGUUUGGUUUGCUGAAAAUGAUCGGUUAACAGAAAAUCAUUUAUGGGUAAGGAAAAUACACAUGCUUAAAGUUAGAAAAAUGAAUUCUGUAA